rnacentral:rRNA from 1 species
GGACGAACGCUGGCGGCGUGCCUAAUACAUGCAAGUAGAACGCUGAAGAGAGGAGCUUGCUCUUCUUGGAUGAGUUGCGAACGGGUGAGUAACGCGUAGGUAACCUGCCUUGUAGCGGGGGAUAACUAUUGGAAACGAUAGCUAAUACCGCAUAGCAAUGGAUGACCCAUGUCAUUUAUUUGAAAGGGGCAAAUGCUCCACUACAAGAUGGACCUGCGUUGUAUUAGCUAGUAGGUGAGGUAACGGCUCACCUAGGCGACGAUACAUAGCCGACCUGAGAGGGUGAUCGGCCACACUGGGACUGAGACACGGCCCAGACUCCUACGGGAGGCAGCAGUAGGGAAUCUUCGGCAAUGGGGGCAACCCUGACCGAGCAACGCCGCGUGAGUGAAGAAGGUUUUCGGAUCGUAAAGCUCUGUUGUAAGUCAAGAACGAGUGUGAGAGUGGAAAGUUCACACUGUGACGGUAGCUUACCAGAAAGGGACGGCUAACUACGUGCCAGCAGCCGCGGUAAUACGUAGGUCCCGAGCGUUGUCCGGAUUUAUUGGGCGUAAAGCGAGCGCAGGCGGUUUGAUAAGUCUGAAGUUAAAGGCUGUGGCUCAACCAUAGUUCGCUUUGGAAACUGUCAAACUUGAGUGCAGAAGGGGAGAGUGGAAUUCCAUGUGUAGCGGUGAAAUGCGUAGAUAUAUGGAGGAACACCGGUGGCGAAAGCGGCUCUCUGGUCUGUAACUGACGCUGAGGCUCGAAAGCGUGGGGAGCGAACAGGAUUAGAUACCCUGGUAGUCCACGCCGUAAACGAUGAGUGCUAGGUGUUGGAUCCUUUCCGGGAUUCAGUGCCGCAGCUAACGCAUUAAGCACUCCGCCUGGGGAGUACGACCGCAAGGUUGAAACUCAAAGGAAUUGACGGGGGCCCGCACAAGCGGUGGAGCAUGUGGUUUAAUUCGAAGCAACGCGAAGAACCUUACCAGGUCUUGACAUCCCGAUGCUAUUUCUAGAGAUAGAAAGUUACUUCGGUACAUCGGUGACAGGUGGUGCAUGGUUGUCGUCAGCUCGUGUCGUGAGAUGUUGGGUUAAGUCCCGCAACGAGCGCAACCCCUAUUGUUAGUUGCCAUCAUUCAGUUGGGCACUCUAGCGAGACUGCCGGUAAUAAACCGGAGGAAGGUGGGGAUGACGUCAAAUCAUCAUGCCCCUUAUGACCUGGGCUACACACGUGCUACAAUGGUUGGUACAACGAGUUGCGAGUCGGUGACGGCAAGCUAAUCUCUUAAAGCCAAUCUCAGUUCGGAUUGUAGGCCGUAACUCGCCUACAUGAAGUCGGAAUCGCUAGUAAUCGCGGAUCAGCACGCCGCGGUGAAUACGUUCCCGGGCCUUGUACACACCGCCCGUCACACCACGAGAGUUUGUAACACCCGAAGUCGGUGAGGUAACCUUUUGGAGCCAGCCGCCUAAGGUGGGAUAGAUGAUUGGGGUGAAGUCGGAACAAGGUA